rnacentral:rRNA from 1 species
AAUGACCUAAAUUAUUAAUAGUUAUAGUCUUUAAACUUGAAGAAUUUGGCGGUGGUUUAGUCUUGUUAGAGGAACCUGUUUUUGAAUCGAUACACCACGUUAAAUUUUACUUGCUUUAUUAAGUUUGUAUACCGUCAUUAGCAGAUGAUUUUCAAAGAGUUAAUUGUUAAAUUUUAUAUAAAUAUAAAUAAACUUAGAUCAAGGUGCAGCUAAUAGGCAAGUUAAAAUGGGUUACAAUAAAAUUUAUUUAUUACGGGAUUAAAUUAUAAGAAGUAAUAUUAUGAAGGAGGAUUUAAUUGUAAUGAAAGUUUAAUAAGCUUGAAAGAUAUAAAGCUCUAGAUCAUGUACAUAUCGCCCGUC